GUCUACAGCUAUACCAACCUGAAUGCAUCCCAUCUCAUCUGGUCUUGGAAGCUAAGCAAGGUCAAGCCUGGUUGGUUCUAAGAUGGGACACUGCCUGGGAAUACCAGGUGCUAUCGGCU
rnacentral:rRNA from 1 species